rnacentral:rRNA from 1 species
ACGAACGCUGGCGGCGUGCUUAACACAUGCAAGUCGAACGGAGUUUAAGAGGAAGCUUGCGAAUCUUAAACUUAGUGGCGGACGGGUGAGUAACGCGUGGAUAACCUGCCUGAAUGACUGGGACAACACCGGGAAACUGGUGCUAAUACCGGAUACGCUCAUCAUUGCGCAGGCAAAGGUGAGGAAAGGAGAAAUCCGCAUACAGAUGGGUCCGCGUCCCAUUAGCUAGUUGGCGGUGUAAGAGACCACCAAGGCGACGAUGGGUAGCCGGCCUGAGAGGGUGGACGGCCACACUGGAACUGAGACACGGUCCAGACUCCUACGGGAGGCAGCAGUGGGGAAUCUUCCGCAAUGGGCGAAAGCCUGACGGAGCAACGCCGCGUGAGUGAGGAAGGCCUUCGGGUCGUAAAACUCUGUCUUCAGGGAAGAAAAAAAUGACGGUACCUGAGGAGGAAGCCCCGGCUAACUACGU